rnacentral:misc_RNA from 1 species
UGGUAACCAAAUCGGUGCUGCUUUCUGGUAUGUCUCGAUGCUUUCGAGUUAAUAUGCUUUGGACCAAGGAACUGCACAGAAGCAUGAACUCAGAUGUGCCCUACUGUGUCUGCCACGUGUUUGCUAACAUCUUUGCAGGCAGACCAUCUCUGGCGAGCACGGCCUUGACGGCUCCGGUGUGUAAGUACAAUCCGUGUACACCUCGAACGAACGACAACCAGUUGGCAUUGGAAGAGUUGGAAUGGGUCUGACGGGAAGGAUAGUUACAAUGGCUCCUCCGAUCUCCAGCUGGAGCGUAUGAACGUCUACUUCAACGAGGUGCGUACCUCACAUUUUUCAGCCUCUUUGACAACGCUUUGCAAGUCCUGACCGCUUCUCCAGGCCAGCGGAAACAAGUAUGUCCCUCGUGCCGUCCUUGUCGAUCUUGAGCCCGGUACCAUGGACGCCGUCCGUGCCGGUCCCUUCGGUCAGCUGUUCCGUCCCGACAACUUCGUUUUCGGCCAGUCCGGUGCUGGUAACAACUGGGCCAAGGGUCACUAC